rnacentral:snRNA from 1 species
UACUGCAGGUUAAUAACUAGAU